UGCCUGUGCAAAACGAUGUGCUGAGUUUCUCUCGUGAAGAAUGAGCUUUUGCUUCACUUUUCCUUCCAUCUGCUUGGGAAGAUGUCAAGAUUAGAUGAGUCACAUGGCAGACCAGAUCUGAGCAAGAGGUUUUUUUCAGAUGUUGUUUGAGGCUGUAAGAACAAGUUUGGUGCUGACCCCAAAGCUUAAUCAGAGAGAGGUUCCAGUGUUUCAGCAGAUUUUGGAGAAUUAAUUGCUGACAUCUGGAAUAUCACAGAAGCUGCACAAAAAUCACUUGAAAAGAUAUUUAACAAGAUGAGCCAUGUAAGUCAUUCUAGGAAGUAAGUACCCAGUUCUGAUAGGGAGAAGACUACAGCUUGGAGCCUGCUGACAAGAUCUGCAGCUCAGGAACAUUCUGUUGGCGUGAGGAAUACUCCAGCUUUGCCAAAAUGAAAUGCAAGAAGGAGACUCUAUCUGAGAUAGACAUCCUCAUGUGCUUUCUUUCAAGAGGAGCAGCAAAAAAUUACUGACCAUACAGAGGUCAGAUCUACAUAACACCAUAUAGAUGUGGCUGCACUGGAACCAAGAAUUGUGUAACCAAAGGACACGAAUCACAACACUAACAACAUGAGGCAAAAAACAAAGGAAGACUCGGGAGGGGAGAACACAAAUGGACUCGUUUUUCAUUUUGACACAGUUUCUUACUAUAGCUCAUAUAGAUGCAUAUUUUCAAGUGAAAUCAAAGGAAAAAUAAAAACUAUUUUGGAACUUAAUAAAAUGCAUGCCUUGAAAGCUCUGGAUACUCUUCGCAGAUUGAAACAUCAUUCUCAGAAUAUCAUCUUGAUUUUUCACUAGCAAAUUUCCUUAAACAUGUAAUGGAGAAAGUGCACUUUUACUUAAAUCAUACUCAGAUCUUAAGAAAGCAAGAUUGUGCUGGUUUGAAACUAGAUAGAAUGUUUUGGUGAGAAGAACUAGAUUAUAGGCUGUGGAAAGAAAACAAUGGUGAUGUCUGCUUCACUCAUAGGCUUGCUGAGAUGUAUAGGAGCAAGAAAUAAAAACAUAGAUA